rnacentral:rRNA from 1 species
AUUUUAUUUCUAGUGAUUGGAAUGAUGGGAAUCCAAACCCCUUUCAGAGUAACAAUUGGAGGGCAAGUCUGGUGCCAGCAGCCGCGGUAAUUCCAGCUCCAAUAGCGUAUAUUAAAGUUGUUGCAGUUAAAAAGCUCGUAGUUGGAUAUCUGCUGGAAGCAAUCAGUCCGCCCUAUUUUAGGGUGUGCACUUGAUGAAUUCUGGCAUCUAGUAUCCCUAAUAUGGUCACGAUUUUCAGUAAUCGUGACUUCUUAUUAGGGAUAAUACAGUUACUUUGAGAAAAUUAGAGUGUUUGAAGCAGGCUUGUUGCCUUGAAUACUGCAGCAUGGAAUAACAAUAUAGGAUUUCGGUUCUAUUUUGUUGGUUUCUAGGACUGAAAUAAUGAUUAAUAGGGACAGUUGGGGGCAUUCGUAUUUAACUGUCAGAGGUGAAAUUCUUAGAUUUGUUAAAGACGAACUACUGCGAAAGCAUUUGCCAAGGAUGUUUUCAUUAAUCAAGAACGAAAGUUAGGGGCUCGAAGACGAUCAGAUACCGUCGUAGUCUUAACCAUAAACUAUGCCGACUAGAGAUAGAAAA